UACAGAGAGUGCAAGCGUUAAUCGGAAUUACUGGGCGUAAAGGGCGCGUAGGUGGACAUUUAAGUCGGAUGUGAAAGCCCCGGGCUUAACCUGGGAACCGCAUUCGAUACUGAAUGCCUAGAGUAUGGUAGAGGGAAGUGGAAUUUCCGGUGUAGCGGUGAAAUGCGUAGAUAUCGGAAAGAACAUCAGUGGCGAAGGCGACUUCCUGGACCAAUACUGACACUCAAGUGCGAAAGCGUGGGGAGCAAAC
rnacentral:rRNA from 1 species